UCAAGUCCGCCUCCUUCUUUCCUAUAUCCUGUUUAUGCAAGGGGAUAGCUGAGUUUCCAAGCUGACGGCACUCUCUCUCCUAAAACAUGGUGUGACUCAUAAUUGGUGCUUGCCGCUAUGUGGCCAGGAAAAUAGCAGCAUCGCUGCGUAACGAGGAUCUGGGGGAGCCUGUGUUGGCAUACAAGAAUCAGGUGUGCCAAGUGGGCAAACAAAAACCCACAACAAUGCCACAAUCUGCCUGUUGCCCUGUCAGCCAGGGGUACCCCCCUGCUGCCACUUCGGAAGUUGGGAUCCAGAAGCCACAUUCUUGAUGGAACAGAAAAAGGAACAGCAAGGAGGGGGGGAAAUGACGGUUCGUUUGACAACUCCUGUGCAUGCAGGAAUUGAACGGACCUGAACAUCCUUUAGCCUCCCUCCACCUCACCUUUUCACUAUGAAAACUUCUUAAAUAAAAGAAGCACUUUGUGUGCUCUAAUACACCA